rnacentral:rRNA from 1 species
GACGAACGCUGGCGGCGUGCCUAAUACAUGCAAGUCGAACGCAUUUUCUUUCACCGUACCUUGCUACACCGAGAGACGAUGAGUGGCGAACGGGUUGGUAACCCUUGGGUAACCUGCCCAUCAGCGGUGGAUAACACUUGGUAACAGGUGCUAAUACCUCAUAAUUCCAUUUACCGCAUGGUAAAUGGAUGAAUGGCGCUUUUCCGUCACUGCUGGAUGGACCCUCGGUUCAUUAGCGAGUUGGUGGGGUGACGGCCUACCAAUGCUGCGAUGCAGAGCCGAACUGGGAGGGUGAUCCGCCAAAAUGGGACUGAGACACGGCCCAGACUCCUACGAGAGGCAGCAGUAGGGGAUCUUCGGAAAUGGACGCAAGUCUGACCGAGCAACGCCGCGGGAGUGAAGAAGGUUUUCGGAUUGUAAAACUCUGUUGUUAGAGAAGAACAAGGAUGAGAGUGGACAGUUCAUACCUUGACGGUAUCUAACCAGAAAGCCACGGCUAACUACGUG